GGUCCUACAGAGCCAGAAGGACUCGUCAUAUGAGAUAACAAGGGCUGAAGCCAGUUGGAUCUAAAGUGCCAAGUUAUUCGUUAUCAGACAACAGAGACAAAUUCUCUAAUACCAAGGUCAAUGCAUUUGACUGCUGUCCAGCCCCGGGUUGCCACCGAAAACUUUAUGCAUCUUGGACUGGAAGAUGGUUUGCUAGUAAGGAAGCUAGCUACCACAGCCUUUGCCACCACAUCUCAGUGUUGGGAGGGAAGUUCACUCACUGCACAACUCUACCAGCUGUACCUUUCCUCCUCAGCCAUGAUCCGUAACCACCAUGGUUUUCUUUCUGGGCCAGAAGACUUUGCAAACAAAUAAGCAAUAAAUGAUCAUGCAUUACAAA